rnacentral:lncRNA from 1 species
UAGGUACUCAAAAUCAUUUUUAUUUAAUGAUUUUUGACUUCCACUGGUACAGUCGUCAGGAUUAAUAAGAAUAGUAACAGCUAAUAUAUAUUUGUUUACAAAAUAUUUUAAAAUUUGUUGUCUUCUUUGGCUUCCAAAGCAACUGUGAGGUAGCUUGGCCCAAUAACAUUGUUAUCCCAAAGCAGAGAAGAUUCUGAGCAGAGAAAUUCAGUGACAUGCUUAAAAUCACAACAGGAGGAAAUUGUUCAGGGGUACUGCUUCAGUCCUGAUGAUUGGACUCAGAAUCCUGACCCCAUUCAGCUAUCUGGAAAUAAUUUCAGCUGCCACUGCUACUGAAUCUGAUUCUGUAUCACCAAGAACUGCAUACAUUACAAAGGUGGAAUAUUUCCUUUUUUCUUUCAAUAUUCCUCCUUCCCAUCAAUUUUACUUGAUCUUUUUUUAAGCUACUCUGGUACAUUAAACCAGUAUCCUUUUAGAGAAUAGUAGGCAAUUCCUCCCUUUUUUUUUACUGUAGUCUGAGUUACUAGCUUAUAAGAAAAUUAAAGUAUUUCUGUAAGGGACUCUGUCCUUAUUAAGGUUUGGUGAAAAUAUUCCUGUCCAUUUACACAGACUAGCAGGUUCUGUGAUUUGCAUUAGUGGCCUUUCACUAGUCAGAAACAAGUGUCAUCUGCAUACCUUAUAUCUCACUAUAUAUUUACACGAUAAUUUGUGACAAAGGUUAAGCAAGGUAAGUCAUGCACUGAUAAUCUGAGGAAUAAUAGUCAGAUUCCUCCAUUCACAGCCCAUUUAUCCUUGCCUCUGAUCCAUUCCCAUUCCUGUAUAACCCAGCUUUCCUGCAUUUACUCAGAGCUCUCAAGUCUUCACUGGUGACAGAACUAUUAAGACCGUUCCCUAUAAAGCAUCCUUGCAUAAUUCCAUGUUCGCAGGAACUACCAUCAAUUAGGUGGACAGCCACUCCUUCAGCACUCACUAAGGCUGCAUUGUCCCACACCCAUGUACCACUCAUUGGUCAAAACCAAUUUCAGCCAUUCCUUAGCUAACCACGUAGUCAUCUCUCCUGGAAGCCCUCCCAGAACACCUAUCGGUACCACCCUCUACUCUUCCUUGUGUGUGGCACUUGUUUGCUCUUCCUCAUCCUGUGACCACUUUGGCUCCUGAUUCAGUCUUCCCUGACACUUCUGACACCUGAUUCAGUUCCUUUCUGUUGUGAGGGAUGAUGCCCUUCCUUGUUCCAAUUUCCAAGAAAGGGUAAGAGUAACUAGUAAAUAGGAAGUACUGGUAAGUGGUGUAAUGAGUCAGCUCUUUGUGCUUCCUCCCUAAAUCCCUAUUAUUAUUAAACAUAUUUGAAAUCUCAAGGUACUGGCACUGAAUCACUUAUCAUUUCAUUUAUGUACAAUCAAGUGCUUGCUUAACCCUGGAAGAGGCAGAGAUCAUGAGCUUUGCAGUCAGUAAGAGAUGUGUUCACAUCACUUACUAGUAUGAAACCCUCAGCAGGACACUUACCUUCUCAAAACCUCAUUUUCCUUGUCUGUAAAAUAGAGAUAAUCAUCCUGACCUCACUUAGUACAGUGCCUCGUUUAGGAUGAAGGUCAGAAAACGUUAGCUAUUGUUAUUUACACGUGACUGUUAUUGGCAUUUAGAAGGGAUUAAAUCCUUGGAAUUAUUCUCAGUCCUCAUAUGCCUCAUGACCAGGACCGCUGCUCUCCACACCAUGGGAGUUAAUUGUACAGAAAACAGAACUAUCUUUGCUAAAGUGGAAGAAGGAAGCCUUAUGUAAGAUUGCCGUACAGAGCUUUUGACCUUGCCAGGCUUAAAUGUCACAAUCGGGCAGUAAAUGAUUAUUUACCAGUCAGAAUUACUCUGGAAAUAAGUGUUGUUUUAAGGCAUGGACACCUGUCUAUAAGAAUUCAGAGUCUUCUGACAAUGUACAGGAUGGUUUUCACAUUUCAAAACUUCUGAGUUUUGACUUAGUCCUGAAAGGUGGGAUUUGGUUAUGUGUUCCUUUUACAUAUCUUGCAAAAACUUGAGUCAAAUUCUGCCCUCAAUUUCAAGAUGAAAGCUGCUGGCUAAUUUUCCCCAAGACUGAAAUACAUAUAACUAAGAUAUUUUCCUGUUUUUCUUCCUCUGCCAAUUAGCACCAAUACAGAUGAAAAACCUAAAGAGAAUACCCAUUUAAGUCCUCAAGAAGACAGCGGCAUACAACCUCAAACUCUGCAAACAAAUCAGGAAAACAGCAGGUACCUACUGUACAUAUCGAAUUCAUAAUGUUGUCAGGAACUCAAAUACUGAAAAUGAGAACAGGAUUUGCACAUGAUGAUGCUCUAGUUGCAUCACUGGUACCAGGGGAGUUAGAAAGUACUUCAGGAAGUGGAAAGGCCUUGGUGGUUGUUUUUCUUGGGACUCUGGUUGCUUCCAGGGAGUUGGGUGAGGACUGUCAGCGCUGUGCCCAGGCACUGUUUUCACAAAGCUUUCCGCAGGUUUGUGCAGUGAUGCCACGAACCUUUGAGAAGGAAGCUUUCGUUUUCCUUGUGGAACCCACGCAUUUGCCACUUGGGUGUGCCUCCCAGUCCCCCACUUCCCUUCAAUGUGCAGUGUCACCUCAGGAUUCUGAGGAGACUCUGGACUUCCCCUCCUCUGCUUCCCCACUCUCCCUGAAUUCUCUGCCACAGCUGGCCUCCCGACUGCUCUGUCCUUUCUAUCUGUCCCCCACAGAGGCUUGUCACCACACCUCAUUCCUGCAAUCCAGGAAUUCAGAUACCAGCUUACUAGCAUAGCUGUUGUCCUGAAUGUUCAGCUGUUUGCUACAGGAUUGGGGUGAAAGGGAAAUUAUACUACAACCCAAAGUGGCACACAACUUAGAAUUGAAUAUUAGAAAUCACCAAACUAAAAAUUAAAAUUUUACUGCAACACAUUCUCACCCACUGUCAGCCUACUUACCACUACAACAGCUGAGUGAAUAGAAGCCACAGAGAGGGCAGCCACCGUGGCUCGGCAGUUUAGUGUUGCCUUCAGCCCAGGAGACCUGGGAUGGAGUCCCAUGUCAGGCUCCCUGCAGAGGGAGGCUGCUUCUCCCUCUGCCUGUCUCUCUCUCUCUCAUGAAUAAAAAAAAAAAAAGAAGAAGAAGAAGAAGAAGCCACAGAGACCUUGAGACUGUAUGAUUGUCUCUGCAAAAGUUAACUUAAAAACUAUUUCACAAGAGGGCUUAAAAUAGCAUUUAAUUUCUCCUCAUUCCUGCCAAGUGACUUUCCCAAACAUUUUACUACCUUUCUUCCAGUUUAGUUGCAAUAACCUGGCUCAGAAUCCACUUACUCAAGAAGCUCUAAGUGCUCCAAACCAAAAUGAUGUCUUUCUUUAAAACUCAAAGCACUUGCUGUCUAUAACAAUAUUUUAAAAGCAAACUAUUUCCUCUUAAGUACUCAUUAUCAAAAACAUAGAAAAUGAAGAAAAAUAUAAAAAAUAUAAGAAUUACCUGAAAUAGCCUCCACCCACUGGUUAGUAUUCUUAAGCUUCUUUGCAUGUUGUUUUACAUUUGCAGGAUUAUAAAGAGAUCAUAUUGACUGUAUAAUAUUGAAUUCUGAUUUUGUUUUCACCAAAUGACAACCGUUUCCUUUAUAAAAAACUUAUAUCCUAUAGUAGUAUUUCAUUUGUUAUUUUGCCUAUUAACACUAUUGUAUUCAUUUGCUCAUUCCUGCAUUCUUCAAACAUGCAUUAGUCAUUUAUAAAAUGUACCAUAUAUUGUGCUUCUUUUUUCUCAUGUGCUAACUUAUGAGUAAAGGCUCACUUUUUAAAUUUCCCUAAAUUUCUGAAUAGAGACUUAAUCAAAUGAGAAGUGUAAAUAAAUAUUUGAGAGAAAAUUUAUCAGAAAUUCAUUAUAACUAACCAUUUAGAAUUUUUCUCUUACAUCAAGGUAUGGGUCAAAUUGUGUACAUUGACUGUGGAUCAACUUUUAAUAAAAUGGGAGGAAGUCAUUAAUGAAUUUGUCUCCAAUCUCCUUCUAAGACUGGAAUUUUGGCCAUUAGUUCUACAGGAGAAAGGUUGAUCAUGUGGUAGACCAGGAGUGAGUCACAGUCUGUAGCUUGCUUAAGACCUGGGCACCCAGGGAUCCCUGGGUGGCUCAGCAGUUGAGCGUCUGCCUUCAGCUCAGGGCCGGAUCCUGGAGUCCCAGGAUCAAGUCCCACGUCGGGCUCCCUAUAUGGAGUCUGCUUCUCCCUCUGCCUGUGUCUCUGCCUCUCUCUCUCUCUCUCUCUGUGUGUGUCUCUCAUAAAAAAAUAAAUAAAAUCUUAAAAAAAAAAAAAAA